GGGGAAUUUUGGACAAUGGGCGAAAGCCUGAUCCAGCAAUGCCGCGUGCAGGAUGAAGGCCUUCGGGUUGUAAACUGCUUUUGUACGGAACGAAAAAGCUUCUCCUAAUACGAGAGGCCCAUGACGGUACCGUAAGAAUAAGCACCGGCUAACUACUUGCCAGCAGCCGCGGUAAUACGUAGGGUGCGAGCGUUAAUCGGAAUUACUGGGCGUAAAGCGUGCGCAGGCGGGUAUGUAAGACAGAUGUGGAAAUCCCCGGGGUCAACCUGGGAACGGCAGUUGGGACGGCAUGGCUAGAGUACGGUAGGGGGGGAUGGAAUUCCGCGUGUAGCAGUUAAAUGCUUAGAUAUGCGGAGGAACACCGAUGGCUAAGGCAAUCCCCUGGACCUGUACUGACGCUCAUGCACGAAAGCGUGGGGAGCAAACA
rnacentral:rRNA from 1 species